AUGUACAAUCAAGGACCAACAGUCGGAAGAAUAAACCCUGCAUUCACUGACCCUCAGGAUGAACAGGAUCAUCUGGAGAAGUCAAGGAUGGAUCAGUCUGUGCAACCACCAUACUAUCCCAGCGCAGGAUACCAGAUCCCAAGAGUCAAUCCCAUCUCUUCUGGAUAUCCAAACCAACCGUACGGAGCUCCAGUAGGCCCUCAGGGCCCGUAUGUCCAGCAGUCAUAUCCAGGAAGGGCUGUGUAUCCCCAAGCAGCGUAUGAUGGUCAAACUGGUGUCACAGUUCAGCCGGCUGUGUUCAUGGCUCCAGUGCUAAUGGCUGCUCCGGAUUACUUGGGCUACUCCAUCUUUACCAUGCUGUGCUGCUGUUUACCUCUGGGCAUUGCUGCUAUUGUCUACUCGUGCUAUACUCGAGAUGCUAACUUGUCUGGAGAGCGAGAGUUAGCGAUGAGCAACUCCAGAAAAGCGUUUAUCCUGAACAACAUGGCUCUCGGUAUCGGCCUCACAAUCACUGCAGUGUCACUUAUCCUCAUAUUUACAGUUUGAACAGACGUUGUAUUCUGCUUCAGAUGCAUCUACUGAUACUGUAACUCAAGACAUUGAUUUUAUGGAAGAAAUGACAAAUAUUUUCCAGACCCUCUGAGGGAAUGAUCUAAUAUGGAUAUGUUUUAUGUCAUGUUGUGUUUAAUGCUGUCAGAUUGAUCUGUAAGCUGUAUGAUUAUCUGGGCAGAAAUCAAAACUUUUAGUUAAUAGGCUGAUUUAAAAUGUUUCUUUCAAAUAAAGCAUUUAAAAUUAAAAGGAAAAGAGUGUUC
ensembl:lncRNA